UACGAAGGGGGCUAGCGUUGCUCGGAAUCACUGGGCGUAAAGCGCACGUAGGCGGACUCUUAAGUCGGGGGUGAAAUCCUGGAGCUCAACUCCAGAACUGCCUUCGAUACUGGGAGUCUUGAGUUCGGGAGAGGUGAGUGGAACUGCGAGUGUAGAGGUGAAAUUCGUAGAUAUUCGCAAGAACACCAGUGGCGAAGGCGGCUCACCUGG
rnacentral:rRNA from 1 species